GCUAAAGAACUACUCGGCCCCUUUCUGCCCGCAGGGAGCUUACAGUCUCCUUUAACUGGGUCCUGACCACUUCCAGUGUCCUCUACUUCCUUCUGCUUUUCUCCUGGAGUCUAGACUGCCUCUCCCUUUACCAGCUGUUCUGCCCCAAAUAGCUAUUGUGUGCACUUGGCCCAACUCCCAAGAGCAAGUACUUAGGAAUUCUACAGAAAACACGUCACCUAAAAUACAGCUGAGCUUUCAAGACAAGCUAUGAGUGCUUUAGAGGAGUUAUAGCUGCUGGACAGCAGCAACUGGACAAUGACUCCCAGCUGGGCCGGCUGGAGUGUUUCUGCCCGGGUUUACGCAAGCUUUCUGCGGCAUGUUGCCAAACCCAGCUCCCCAUGUUGCAAAGAUGUAUGGCAGUGCGGCAUUUCUCGGGGAUGGGAAGUAACGUGUGCAAGGAUGCCCCUACAAGUGGGCGUCUUGUCUCCGGUCAGCACCUUGCUGCUGCUGCUGUGCUCAGAGCCGAGGCCCAGUAAGAAAGGGCGCUUUCCGAUUUGCCUCACCGUCUCCGGAACUUUCCUGGUGCUUAUGGACAAUUAAGUAUUAAUGGAGCCCCCCUUCUCGUGUCUGGAGUCGCCAGAUGGAACAUGGACGCCCAGUGAAAUCUGAACGUCAGAUAGACAAGAAAUGACGUUUUCAUGCAACAUCAUUCUCCGUGGAGGGGCCGUCCCGCACACUGGAGGGUGUUGAGCAUUGUCCCUGGGUCUCCACCACCAGAUGCCAGCUGGCUCCCCCACUCGUGACCACCGAAAACAUCUUCAAGUUUUCCCCCAUGGCAGGGGCGGGCGCGGGGGCGGCCCGAAGAGAGACCCUCGGUCUAACCAUGGGGGGUAGAGCUGUUCCUCAGAGCUGAGAUUUGCAUUUCCAGCAAAUUCUGGGCCCUGCUUGGUAGUCGGCCCCCUCCCCAGCUCUGGGAAGGAAAUCUCUUCUCACCGUCACUGUCACCAGCAGGCAUGAAAGACAUUGGACGUUUGCAACUUAAUAAGAAAAAUGCGAGCUCCGCUGGCCCAGGGGAGCCUUGAACUCAGCGAUCUGUGCUGUUUACCUCAAACAAUGACUUAUGAACCACAGAGGGUUCGUCCCAUGCCGGUGUGUGCAGGGCAAGAAAAACCAGAGGGGCGGUCAGCUCUCCCAGCCUGACUCAUGAGCCGCUGUGCCGGGAACAUGGCCAAGGCCUGACUCAUGGCCUGCAAUGUCACACCUGCGCCUGUGGCCUCGGGGGACAGUGCCCCUCUGAGAAAAUAGUGGCUAAACCCAUGGCAAUCAGGUCUGACCCUUGGAAGCCGUGCGGGACCCCUGAUGGCCUUGAACACGCAGGAGGCCUGGGCCGUUUGUUAGGAGGGAGGCUGAAUUAGCCGUGGAGGGUGGUGCUGGGCAGAGACCCCUGCAGAAAGGGGGAGGGGAGGGGAGUUUCAGAUAUGCACCUUCUGGCUCUGUGUAUUUCUUUUUAACUUUUUAUUUAUUUAUUAAAAAAAUUUUUUUUAACGUUUA